rnacentral:rRNA from 1 species
GUGCCAGCGCGGUAAUACGGAGGGGGCUAGCGUUGUUCGGAAUUACUGGGCGUAAAGCGCACGUAGGCGGCUUUGUAAGUUAGAGGUGAAAGCCCGGGGCUCAACUCCGGAAUUGCCUUUAAGACUGCAUCGCUAGAAUUGUGGAGAGGUAAGUGGAAUUCCGAGUGUAGAGGUGAAAUUCGUAGAUAUUCGGAAGAACACCAGUGGCGAAGGCGACUUACUGGACACAUAUUGACGCUGAGGUGCGAAAGCGUGGGGAGCAAACAGG